UACGGAGGGAGCAAGCGUUGUUCGGAAUUACUGGGCGUAAAGCGCACGUAGGCGGCUUUGUAAGUUAGAGGUGAAAGCCCGGGGCUCAACCCCGGAAUUGCCUUUAAGACUGCAUCGCUUGAAUCCGGGAGAGGUGAGUGGAAUUCCGAGUGUAGAGGUGAAAUUCGUAGAUAUUCGGAAGAACACCAGUGGCGAAGGCGACUCUUUGGCCUGUAACUGACGCUGAGGCACGAAAGCGUGGGGAGCAAACAGG
rnacentral:rRNA from 1 species